CUCUCUGCCACCUGCAGGGACUCCCCCCUGCCUUCACGGUGUCGCCCAGCCCUGCCAUUCCAAAAAAGAGAUCCCCUGGUGCAAGAACCAGCCCCUCUCUCCCCCGGUCAGUGGGGCUCUCUCUGUGUGAAUGGUGAAUUUCUUUUUUACGCAGGAACUCCUUUUUCUGCAGUUUUAACUUUUCUAGAAGUUUCAUGGAAGUGGAAUCCUUUGAACACAAAACUAUUAUCGCACCGAAAAAUUACAGUGGCUGCCCAACGCCAUUCAGUGGCCACGUUUCCCUGAUCGUCUCAACCAUUUUGGGGAUUGUUUGAAUCAGGAUCUCCAAAAAGUUCCGUGGUCGUCCUGUGAACCUCCUCCCGUCUGGAUUUUGCUCUGUGUCCUGUGGUGGUGGUAAGCUUGUCCUCUGUCCCCGGUUUCCUGGAAUCCGGUAGUUCUGUUUGAUUUUUCUAGCAAGGCCACAUCCUGGGUGGUGGUGUGGCCUUCCGAAGAGGGCGUGAUGCUAGCAGCCAGCCGUGAUCAGCGCUGAGGUCGGCUAACUCCCUGGGGCCACCGACCCCGGAUUCUUGGCUCUGUGGCCCCUCCCCCAUCUGUCAGCUGGAGUCUCCCAUAAAGAAGAGCAGCCUCCACCACACAUUGGUUCUCCGGUGGCCGUGUCACGUGGGAACGGCAGGGUGAAUGCCUGGUUCUUUAUCCGUUUUCAAAAGAAAGUUGGUUCCUCUGAAAAUGACCGGGUGACAUUGCAAGACCUCUGUCCCCAGUGGGCCCUCGCUCCCAGGCCUAUCCAUAGACGGAGCUGUUUGAAAGAUAAGACAGCCGUGGGUUCAUAUGGAUGCUUCCAGCUCAACCCUGGGCUGCAAGAUUGCCCUCACUGCCGGACCCCUGUGCCCUGCCCCACCCGCUGGGCACUCAGCGAGCCAGCUCUGCUUUCACCCUUCUCCCCUCCUCGUGCCAGUCACAGAGACGUCCGUGUCCUCAUCCCAGGAGCCUGUGAAGAUGGAAGAUGGGGCCACGAGCCAAGGGAAGCAGGAAGGAAGGCAGGUGCCUUUGGAAGCUGGAGAGGCACGGGAGCAGAUCCUCUCCUGGAGCCUCCAGAAGGAACCAGUCCUGCCCACACCUUGGUUUUAGCCCCGUGGGUCCCAUUUCGGACUUCAGACCUCCAGAACUCUAAAUUAAUAACCUGCAUUGUCUAGGCUAGAGGUGCGUGGCACUUUGUUACAUCAGCCUCAGUGGAUGGACACAGUCCCCACUUUGAGAGUGGCCAGUGUGGCCAGAGCAGAUGGCCGCCGUGCCCCGUGGCCGCCCCACUCACCAUCACCGUGUCUGAGUUCUUGGGGCCAGUGUGCCCUUUGGGCCGUGGCCAGGUGACCUCGGGAGCUCACUUCACCCGUUGGCCUCACUCCCUUUCCAGAGGAAGGGCCACCAGGGAGCGAGCAGGAGCCACAGUGUGGGGGGUGCAGCGGGGUGGUACCCACAGCCCACACACGAUCUCACGCGUGUACCCCAUACAGGUACGACGCAUGCACACGAUGCAAACAGGUUCACGUGCAGUCCCAUAUGCACACAUGCACACACGCUCACUACACACAGCAGGCAAACCCACUCACACGCAUGGUUGCACACACACAUGCUCACACAGGGCCAUACGCUACUCACUCUCAUGCCCGCCCCCCUGGCAGGCGUGCCCCCCCACACGCAUUGUUUCUCCCCCAGAGCCCCCUCAGCCUCGCCCACGCCGGCUGGAGAGAGGGAGAGCCUUGCCAACCGUCUAACCUGGGGCCUCUGGGCAGACA